rnacentral:ncRNA from 1 species
CUGGCUCCGGUUCACGCACCUCCGCUGAGGUGCGACCCGGCGGCC